rnacentral:tRNA from 1 species
UCCCCGUUGACUCAGUAGGAAAGAAUCUGCCUGCAAUGCAGGAGACUCAGGUUUGAUCCCUGGGCUGGGAA